AUUGAACGCUGGCGGCAUGCCUUACACAUGCAAGUCGAACGGCAGCACGGGGCAACCUGGUGGCGAGUGGCGAACGGGUGAGUAAUGCAUCGGAACGUACCUUUCAGUGGGGGAUAACGUAGCGAAAGUUACGCUAAUACCGCAUAUUCUGUGAGCAGGAAAGCAGGGGAUCGCAAGACCUUGCGCUGAUUGAGCGGCCGAUGUCAGAUUAGCUAGUUGGUGAGGUAAAGGCUCACCAAGGCGACGAUCUGUAGCGGGUCUGAGAGGAUGAUCCGCCACCCUGGAACCGAGACACGAUCCAGACUCCUACGGGAGGCAGCAGGGGGGAAUUUUGGACAAUGGGGGCAACCCUGAUCCAGCCAUGCCGCGUGAGUGAAGAAGGCCUUCGGGUUGUAAAGCUCUUUCGGCCGGGAAGAAAUCGCACGGGCUAAUACCCUGUGUGGAUGACGGUACCGGAAUAAGAAGCACCGGCUAACUACGUGCCAGCCGCCGCGGUAAAAC
rnacentral:rRNA from 1 species